UACGAAGGGGGCUAGCGUUGCUCGGAAUCACUGGGCGUAAAGGGUGCGUAGGCGGGUCUUUAAGUCAGGGGUGAAAUCCUGGAGCUCAACUCCAGAACUGCCUUUGAUACUGAGGAUCUUGAGUCCGGGAGAGGUGAGUGGAACUGCGAGUGUAGAGGUGAAAUUCGUAGAUAUUGGGAAGAACACCGGUGGCGAAGGCGGCUCACUGGCUCGUUUCUGACGCUCAGGCGCGAUAGCGUGGGGAUCAAACAGG
rnacentral:rRNA from 1 species